CGGGGGGGUGCCUAUAAUGCAAGUCGAGCGGACAGAAGGGAGCUUGCUCCCGGAUGUUAGCGGCGGACGGGUGAGUAACACGUGGGUAACCUGCCUGUAAGACUGGGAUAACUCCGGGAAACCGGAGCUAAUACCGGAUAGUUCCUUGAACCGCAUGGUUCAAGGAUGAAAGACGGUUUCGGCUGUCACUUACAGAUGGACCCGCGGCGCAUUAGCUAGUUGGUGGGGUAAUGGCUCACCAAGGCGACGAUGCGUAGCCGACCUGAGAGGGUGAUCGGCCACACUGGGACUGAGACACGGCCCAGACUCCUACGGGAGGCAGCAGUAGGGAAUCUUCCGCAAUGGACGAAAGUCUGACGGAGCAACGCCGCGUGAGUGAUGAAGGUUUUCGGAUCGUAAAGCUCUGUUGUUAGGGAAGAACAAGUGCGAGAGUAACUGCUCGCACCUUGACGGUACCUAACCAGAAAGCCACGGCUAACUACGUGCCAGCAGCCGCGGUAAUACGUAGGUGGCAAGCGUUGUCCGGAAUUAUUGGGCGUAAAGGGCUCGCAGGCGGUUUCUUAAGUCUGAUGUGAAAGCCCCCGGCUCAACCGGGGAGGGUCAUUGGAAACUGGGAAACUUGAGUGCAGAAGAGGAGAGUGGAAUUCCACGUGUAGCGGUGAAAUGCGUAGAGAUGUGGAGGAACACCAGUGGCGAAGGCGACUCUCUGGUCUGUAACUGACGCUGAGGAGCGAAAGCGUGGGGAGCGAACAGGAUUAGAUACCCUGGUAGUCCACGCCGUAAACGAUGAGUGCUAAGUGUUAGGGGUUUCCGCCCCUUAGUGCUGCAGCUAACGCAUUAAGCACUCCGCCUGGGGAGUACGGUCGCAAGACUGAAACUCAAAGGAAUUGACGGGGGCCCGCACAAGCGGUGGAGCAUGUGUUUAAUUCGAAGCAACGCGAAGAACCUUACCAGGUCUUGACAUCCUCUGACACCCUAGAGAUAGGGCUUUCCCUUCGGGGACAGAGUGACAGGUGGUGCAUGGUUGUCGUCAGC
rnacentral:rRNA from 1 species